UGGCACAGUGCUGGGAUGACUAUGGAGACCCAAAUGUCUCAGAAUGUAUGUCCCAGAAACCUGUGGCUGCUUCAAUCAUUGACAGUUUUGCUGCUGCUGGGUGAGUGAGGGUCAUUCUGAAAUAGGGCAAUUUCAGACAUUCCUACUGCCUGGACUCCAGCCACCAGUGUGGUAAGGAGUAGGCCUGGGCCCUGGAAGCAGGGGAUAGAUUGAAAGAGGAGAGAGGACCCUGAAUUCUUAAGUGUUCUAAUGGUUCCUAAGGUCAGAACUCAGAGGUAGUUUCGUAGGCCCUGGAAAGUCCAUUCUGCACCAAACAUUCAUGUGUACUUUGUAGUCAUGAGGAGGAACAGGAAAUAAGAUAAAGGGGACAUAUGAAGUGAAUACUCUUAUAAAAGAUCAACUGGAAACAGGAUCUUGAGAUGGGUCCUGGAGAAGGAAGAGCCCAAGCUCACCUCCCCUGCCCCUUUCACAUACACAGCUAAAUUUGAAGCCGUCUUCUCCUGCUCGACGUUGAUCCACUCUCUUCUCUUUUACAGCUUCUGCAGACAGUCAAGCUGCUCCCCCAAAGGCUGUGCUGAAACUCGAGCCC
rnacentral:sRNA from 1 species